GAUGAACGCUGGCGGCGUGCCUAAUACAUGCAAGUCGAGCGAACAGACGAGGAGCUUGCUCCUCUGACGUUAGCGGCGGACGGGUGAGUAACACGUGGAUAACCUACCUAUAAGCCUGGGAUAACUUCGGGAAACCGGAGCUAAUACCGGAUAAUAUAUUGAACCGCAUGGUUCAAUAGUGAAAGACGGUUUUGCUGUCACUUAUAGAUGGAUCCGCGCCGCAUUAGCUAGUUGGUAAGGUAACGGCUUACCAAGGCAACGAUGCGUAGCCGACCUGAGAGGGGGAUCGGCCACACUGGAACUGAGACACGGUCCAGACUCCUACGGGAGGCGGCAGUAGGGAAUCUUCCGCAAGGGGCGAAAGCUUGACGGAGCAACGCCGCGUGAGUAAUGAAGGUCUUCGGAUCGUAAAACUCUGUUAUUAGGGAAGAACAAAUGUGUAAGUAACUAUGCACGUCUUGACGGUACCUAAUCAGAAAGCCACGGCUAACUACGUG
rnacentral:rRNA from 1 species